GGGGCUAUAGCUCAGCUGGCUAGAGCACUUGCCUGGCAGGCAAGGGGUCAGGGGUUCGAAUCCCCUUAGCUCCA
rnacentral:tRNA from 1 species